UACGAAGGGGGCUAGCGUUGUUCGGAUUUACUGGGCGUAAAGCGCACGUAGGCGGAUUGUUAAGUCAGGGGUGAAAUCCCAGAGCUCAACUCUGGAACUGCCUUUGAUACUGGCAAUCUCGAGUCCGGAAGAGGUGAGUGGAACUCCUAGUGUAGAGGUGGAAUUCGUAGAUAUUAGGAAGAACACCAGUGGCGAAGGCGGCUCACUGGUCCGGAACUGACGCUGAGGUGCGAAAGCGUGGGGAGCGAACAGG
rnacentral:rRNA from 1 species